GGCCGAAUGGCGCAAUGGUAGCGCGUUACUUUCCGGUUCACGACCUGCCGCCUUCAGGUGGACCUGGUCUACGACAGCUGGUAAAGGUUCUGGGUUCGAGUCCCAGUUUGGUCG